GGGAUAUAGGACAGGUGUGUAAGG
rnacentral:piRNA from 1 species